CCCUUUGGUUUUCAGGGGAAGGGGUUUCUGUAAUCUAGAGUUCGGCAGCAAGGUAAAUAAAGACGGAACAAGACUUAUAAUUUAAUACUAUAUAUGAAGUAUAUGAAGUAAAUCAUAUUAAGAUUUCUACAAUAUCAUAUUUUCUGUGGAUAUUAAAAGCAUAGAGCAUGCAUCAAAAUGAAAAAAACUAAAGAUUAGUAAUCUCAAUUCUUAGAAACAUUUAGAAUUCUUGCUUGUUUGAUACAAAGCAUGCUAACUUGCACUUUUUGUUCUUACAAUAGAGACACCUUUGAUGACAUUUUGAACACAGCAUGCUUGAUGCUCCCUAAUUAACUUUUCAUGUAAAAACAUCUUAUCUUACAAAUACAU
rnacentral:lncRNA from 1 species